rnacentral:rRNA from 1 species
UACGUAGGGGGCGAGCGUUUUCCGGAUUUAUUGGGCGUAAAGAGCUCGUAGGCGGCUUGGUAAGUCGGGUGUGAAACCUCCAGGCUCAACCUGGAGCCGCCACUCGAUACUGCCAUGGCUAGAGUCCGGUAGAGGGUCACGGAAUUCCUGGUGUAGCGGUGAAAUGCGCAGAUAUCAGGAGGAACACCGGUGGCGAAGGCGGUGGCCUGGGCCGGUACUGACGCUGAGGAGCGAAAGCGUGGGGAGCAAACAGG